UAGGGAAUCUUCGGCAAUGGGGGUAACCCUGACCGAGCAACGCCGCGUGAGUGAAGAAGGUUUUCGGAUCGUAAAGCUCUGUUGUAAGAGAAGAACGUGUGUGAGAGUGGAAAGUUCACACAGUGACGGUAACUUACCAGAAAGGGACGGCUAACUACGUGCCAG
rnacentral:rRNA from 1 species